rnacentral:tRNA from 1 species
UUCAUCGGCCGGGGAUCGAACUUUGGCCGCCCGCAUGGCAGGCGAGCAUUCUACCACUGAACCACCGAUGC